GACGGACGGUGCAAGCGUUGCUCGGAAUCACUGGGCGUAAAGGGUGCGUAGGCGGGUCUUUAAGUCAGGGGUGAAAUCCUGGAGCUCAACUCCAGAACUGCCUUUGAUACUGAAGAUCUUGAGUUCGGGAGAGGUGAGUGGAACUGCGAGUGUAGAGGUGAAAUUCGUAGAUAUUCGCAAGAACACCAGUGGCGAAGGCGGCUCACUGGCCCGAUACUGACGCUGAGGCACGAAAGCGUGGGGAGCAAACAGG
rnacentral:rRNA from 1 species